UACGUAGGGCGCAAGCGUUGUCCGGAAUUAUUGGGCGUAAAGAGCUCGUAGGCGGUUUGUCACGUCGGAUGUGAAAGCCCGGGGCUUAACCCGGGUCUGCAUUCGAUACGGGCAGACGUAGAGUGUGGUAGGGGAGAUCGGAAUUCCUGGUGUAGCGGUGAAAUGCGCAGAUAUCAGGAGGAACACCGGUGGCGAAGGCGGAUCUCUGGGCCAUUACUGACGCUGAGGAGCGAAGGCGUGGGGAGCGAACGG
rnacentral:rRNA from 1 species